rnacentral:rRNA from 1 species
UACGUAGGGACCAAGCGUUGUUCGGAUUUACUGGGCGUAAAGGGCGCGUAGGCGGCAUGACAAGUCACUUGUGAAAUCUCCGGGCUUAACUCGGAACGGCCAAGUGAAACUGUCAAGCUAGAGUGCGGAAGGGGCAAUCGGAAUUCUUGGUGUAGCGGUGAAAUGCGUUGAGAUCGGAAGGAACGCCCGUGGCGAAAGCGAGCCCCUGGACGUCUACUGACGCUGAGACGCGAAAGCCAGGGGAGCGAACGGG